rnacentral:rRNA from 1 species
GGCUCAGGAUUAACGCUGGCGGCGUGCCUAAUACAUGCAAGUCGAAUGGUAGCAAUACCAUGGCGAACGGGUGAGUAACACGUAGGUAACCUGUCUUUAAGCCGAGGAUAACCAUUGGAAACGAUGGAUAAUACUGGAUAGGACAUUUGAAGGCAUCUUUAAAUGUUUAAAGAUUUAUCACUUAGAGAGGGGCCUGCGGCGCAUUAGCUAGUUGGUGAGGUGAAGGCUUACCAAGGCGAUGAUGCGUAGCCGGACUGAGAGGUUGAACGGCCACAAUGGAACUGAGAACGGUCCAUACUCCUACGGGAGGCAGCAGUAGGGAAUUUUCGGCAAUGGGCGGAAGCCUGACCGAGCAACGCCGCGUGAACGAAGAAGUAUUUCGGUAUGUAAAGUUCUUUUAUUAGGGACGAAAAGACAGAUUGACGGUACCUAAUGAAUAAGCUCCGGCUAACUACGUGCCAGCAGCCGC